UGGGGAAUUUUGGACAAUGGGGGAAACCCUGAUCCAGCCAUCCCGCGUGUGCGAUGAAGGCCUUCGGGUUGUAAAGCACUUUUGGCAGGAAAGAAACGUCAUGGGUUAAUACCCCGUGAAACUGACGGUACCUGCAGAAUAAGCACCGGCUAACUACGUGCCAGCAGCCGCGGUAAUACGUAGGGUGCAAGCGUUAAUCGGAAUUACUGGGCGUAAAGCGUGCGCAGGCGGUUCGGAAAGAAAGAUGUGAAAUCCCAGAGCUCAACUUUGGAACUGCAUUUUUAACUACCGGGCUAGAGUGUGUCAGAGGGAGGUGGAAUUCCGGGUGUAGCAGUGAAAUGCGUAGAUAUGCGGAGGAACACCGAUGGCGAAGGCAGCCUCCAGGGAUAACACUGACGCUCAUGCACGAAAGCGUGGGGAGCAAACAGG
rnacentral:rRNA from 1 species